AAGUCGUAACAAGGUUUCCGUAGGUGAACCUGCGGAAGGAUCAUUAACAAGUCCAUUGUUCAUUUUUGUAUCCGUUGUGGAGAAUGGGGUUCAUCCCUCUUCUGCACAUCCGGGUACAAGAGUAACAUCAGUUCCAUGUGCACGUUUACUCUGCACAUGACAUUCUACGAGUCAUCUGAUUAUAUCAUUCAAAUCAUAAACAAAUAACUUUUAACAAUGGAUCUCUAGGCUCCU
rnacentral:misc_RNA from 1 species